rnacentral:misc_RNA from 1 species
CGGUGGAGUGUGUCGUGCUCGCGGUGAAGCUCUUGUAGAGCGAUUUCAACGACGUCCAGGUUCACAGGUACGCUACAUUUCAGCUUGUGGUGCGAGCAUGCUUUGUGCAGGGCAGCGCUGAUUUUCCUCUUCGUCAUCUUCCUGGUCGUGUGGAAUCGAGCGCGGACAUGGAUUUUGCAGAGCGCGCCUGUGUCAUCGAUAUGGGUCGGUCGAUGAUGUCUGUUUGUGUUUCUUCCUCUGGCGAGGUGCAGAGGUCGCAUAUAGCGGUUUCCCGAGAUGCAGCGGUGACGUUGACGGCUGCCGAGCUGCUUGUUCCCGGCGGAAGACACUCCAUUGCCUUGGAUCGUCUUUUGGAGAUGGCUGUAACCACUGGGCGACUCGCGACGACGACGCAGGUGGUCGUGCUGUCGCGAAGUUGGGUGCAUCCGCUUUUUUACACGUACGUGAUGCGCUGGCUCUGCGCGGGAGUUCCUUCUACCACUUGUGUCUCCCGGGUGCCGCAGGCACUUUUUGCUGCUCAAUGCGCCGGUGUCAAGAGCGCCCUUGUCGUGCAAUGUGAUAAUGGGGUGCUCUUUGCCACCCCCGUGCUGGAUGGUGUCAUUUCUUCCGAACUGGAGUCCGUGUGGGGCGACCUUGGCACCUUUGUCACAGUCGGUGCUCCUCUGGUGGAGGACGGCUUCAGAGAGGUCGGAGACCGUCUUAUAGAAUUCAUGCAGCGGAAGGACCAACAUGCAGACCGUAAAGGUCAUUCUGAGGCAACCUGCUCAGGCAGACCGCAGCCCACGUUGCUGACGUGUGCGGAAGAUCUGUUUUUGGCAGUGGAGCAGCACAUUGCCGCGUGCCGAAAGCGGGAGCUCCGAGCCUGUGUCGAAACCGUGGUCUUGUGUGGCGAUGACGUCAUAGGUCCGGAAGCCCGUCAGCUUAUCGCCCUGGUGCUUUCUGCGUCGCUUCCUGACAGUUUGUUGAUGUGGAUAUAAUCGCCUGUUUCGCGCCUCUAGUGCUUCCGCUUGAGCUUCACGCUCGAAGACUGUGAGCUGCUCCAUCGAUUCUAAAUGGAAACCGCAGCGAUACAUCCGUAAUG